rnacentral:rRNA from 1 species
UGCGUAGGCGGAAUUUUAAGUCAGUGGUGAAAUCCGAUAGCUUAACUAUCGAACUGCCAUUGAAACUGAUUUUCUUGAGUAUAGAUGAGGUAGGCGGAAUGUGUAAUGUAGCGGUGAAAUGCAUAGAUAUUACACAGAACACCGAUUGCGAAGGCAGCUUACUAAACUAUAACUGACGCUGAUGCACGAAAGCGUGGGUAGCGAACAGGAUUAGAUACCCUGGUAGUCC